UCAAUUCAAGUAAGCUUCGUGACCAACAAGGAGUUCUUUCUGCCCCUUCAGUUUGAAACUGCUUUCUAAACUAAUGUGUAAAUUCUAAUUGGGGAAUUUUUAUUUUUUGGUUAACUUAGGGCAGUUGCCCAAGUUGGGGAGCAUGUGAAGUUUGAAGCUUGUAUAGAUGUUAUGGAUCUGCUUUAUGAAAAUGAAGAGUAUUGCUGUAGAAUACAGAAUCACUACCUAUGUAGUUAUAGAAAGAUUUAGGUUGUUAAUAUCUUUCAUAUUUCUUUUAUUUAAGAAGCUCGGGUUGGCUAUGUUUUGCAGGUGAACUCGCUCGUGUUGGUGGAGGCUCAUUAGUGUAAUUGAGUUUAUCAUCUUGGCGGAUCAAGUAGAUGGGAGUCGAUGAGCUAUGAGGACUACUACAAAAGAGAAGGCUGAAGCAGAGAACGUCGUUUCAAAUGUCUAGCAAGUUGCGCGCAUUUGUAAUAUUUUUUAAUUAAUCAUAUAGCUAACUAGAAUAUUUGUGUUGUUUUCAUUAUAUUUGGAUGAUAAUGUAUGAAUAUUUCGGAUGUUAUAUAAUAUAUGUUAUCGAUGGCAA